rnacentral:rRNA from 3 species
GGACUACUAGGGUAUCUAAUCCCGUUUGCUCCCCUGGCUUUCGCGCCUCAGCGUCAGUAGAGGGCCAGCGGAUCGCUUUCGCCACCGGCGUUCCUUCCGAUAUCAACGCAUUUCACCGCUCCACCGGAAGUUCCAUCCGCCCCUACCUCCCUCGAGCUGCGCAGUAUCCGAGGCACUUCCCCAGUUAAGCUGGGGGCUUUCACCCCGGACUUGCGCAGCCGCCUACGCGCCCUUUAAGCCCAGUGAUUCCGAACAACGUUCGCACGGUUCGUCUUACCGCGGCUGCUGGCAC